rnacentral:rRNA from 1 species
GAGUUUGAUCAUGGCUCAGGAUGAACGCUAGCGGCAGGCUUAAUAACAUGCAAGUCGAACGGGUUUGAGUAGCAAUACUCAAAUCAGUGGCGCACGGGUGCGUAACGCGUAUGCAACCUACCUUAAACUGGGGGAUAGCCCGGGGAAACCCGGAUUAAUACCGCAUAAGAUCACACGAGGGCAUCUGAGAGUGAUUAAAGAUUUAUUGGUUUAAGAUGGGCAUGCGUGCCAUUAGCUAGUUGGUAGGGUAAUGGCUUACCAAGGCUACGAUGGCUAGGGGUUCUGAGAGGAUGAUCCCCCACACUGGUACUGAGAUACGGACCAGACUCCUACGGGAGGCAGCAGUAGGGAAUAUUGGGCAAUGGACGGAAGUCUGACCCAGCCAUGCCGCGUGCAGGAUGAAGGCCUUCUGGGUUGUAAACUGCUUUUAUCUAGGAAGAAAAAGCCCCUGCGGGGGAAACUGACGU